rnacentral:piRNA from 1 species
UUCCACUGUAUGACCAAGGCCUGGGA